UUUCCGUAGGUGAACCUGCGGAAGGAUCAUUAUUGAAUAAACCGGAUGUGACUGUUAGCUGGCUUUUCGUAGCAUGUGCUCGUCCGUCAUCUUUAAUCUCUCCACCUGUGCACAUUUUGUAGUCUUGGAUACCUCUCGAGGCAACUCGGAUUUUAGGAUCGCCGUGCUGCACAAGGCGGCUUUCCUUUCAUUUCCAAGACUAUGUUUUUAUAUAUACCAAAGUAUGUUUAAAGAAUGUCAUCAAUAGGAACUUGUUUCCUAUAAAAUUAUACAACUUUCAGCAACGGAUCUCUUGGCUCUC
rnacentral:misc_RNA from 1 species